rnacentral:lncRNA from 1 species
AUUGGUCCCAUAAUUUUUGGACCAAUAAUGAAACAGAUAUGGAUUUUAGAAAUAAAAUAGAAUUAAAAGAAAUAAAAGAAAAUAGAAAUCAGAAAUUAAAAAUUAGAAAAAAGGAGAGGCGUUGGAUGAUGGCUCAUUAAUUGAGCUGGCAUAUCACAUGGCUCUCAGGCGCGCAUCCACCAUACAUUAAAAGAAAUAAAAGAAAAUAGAAAUCAGAAAUUAAAAAUUAGAAAAAAGGAGAGGCGUUGGAUGAUGGCUCAUUAAUUGAGCUGGCAUAUCACAUGGCUCUCAGGCGCGCAUCCACCAUACAUCCAUGUCAAUGAGAAACACGAAUAAUAAAAGAAAGUCAUAACAUUGGACAACCUAGAUCAAAUUUGCAGAAGAACAAAUGUGCACCAAAACGCACGAUCGAGGUACCAAAUGAAAGGUGGAGUGAUG